UACGUAGGGGGCGAGCGUUGUCCGGAUUUAUUGGGCGUAAAGAGCUCGUAGGCGGUUUGGUAAGUCGGGUGUGAAAUCUCCACGCUCAACGUGGAGGGGCCACUCGAUACUGCCAUGACUCGAGUCCGGUAGAGGAGUGUGGAAUUCCCGGUGUAGCGGUGAAAUGCGCAGAUAUCGGGAGGAACACCCGUAGCGAAGGCAGCUUGCUGGGACGUUACUGACGCUAAGGCGCGAAAGCGUGGGGAGCGAACAGG
rnacentral:rRNA from 1 species